rnacentral:lncRNA from 1 species
AAAUUUAGCUCGUGCAGAUAUUGUCUGCUAGAAAUCAUUCUCAGCCCAGACUUCCAGGUGUAUAGAUGUAAGGUAAAAAGGGGAAUUUUCAACCAUGUGCGCAACAUUUUUGGAAGUGGUCUCAGUAGGAAUCACGCGCUAUUUUUAUAUACUAUAAUUAGUGUAUUGAAGAAAAUGUGUUUUACAGUAUUUUUUAGGUAAGAAGUUCCCCC